UUGGGUGUGUGCCGAGCUACCAUGCAGUCGAGCGGAUGACGGGAGCUUGCUCCUUGAUUCAGCGGCGGACGGGUGAGUAAUGCCUAGGAAUCUGCCUGGUAGUGGGGGACAACGUUUCGAAAGGAACGCUAAUACCGCAUACGUCCUACGGGAGAAAGCAGGGGACCUUCGGGCCUUGCGCUAUCAGAUGAGCCUAGGUCGGAUUAGCUAGUUGGUGAGGUAAUGGCUCACCAAGGCGACGAUCCGUAACUGGUCUGAGAGGAUGAUCAGUCACACUGGAACUGAGACACGGUCCAGACUCCUACGGGAGGCAGCAGUGGGGAAUAUUGGACAAUGGGCGAAAGCCUGAUCCAGCCAUGCCGCGUGUGUGAAGAAGGUCUUCGGAUUGUAAAGCACUUUAAGUUGGGAGGAAGGGCAGUAAGUUAAUACCUUGCUGUUUUGACGUUACCGACAGAAUAAGCACCGGCUAACUCUGUGCCAGCAGCCGCGGUAAUACAGAGGGUGCAAGCGUUAAUCGGAAUUACUGGGCGUAAAGCGCGCGUAGGUGGUUCGUUAAGUUGGAUGUGAAAGCCCCGGGCUCAACCUGGGAACUGCAUCCAAAACUGGCAAGCUAGAGUACGGUAGAGGGUGGUGGAAUUUCCUGUGUAGCGGUGAAAUGCGUAGAUAUAGGAAGGAACACCAGUGGCGAAGGCGACCACCUGGACUGAUACUGACACUGAGGUGCGAAAGCGUGGGGAGCAAACAGGAUUAGAUACCCUGGUAGUCCACGCCGUAAACGAUGUCAACUAGCCGUUGGAAUCCUUGAGAUUUUAGUGGCGCAGCUAACGCAUUAAGUUGACCGCCUGGGGAGUACGGCCGCAAGGUUAAAACUCAAAUGAAUUGACGGGGGCCCGCACAAGCGGUGGAGCAUGUGGUUUAUUCGAAGCACGCGAAGAACCUUACCAGGCUUGACAUGCAGAGAACUUUCCAGAGAUGGAUUGGUGCCUCGGGAACUCUG
rnacentral:rRNA from 1 species